rnacentral:rRNA from 1 species
UCUGGGACAAGCCCUGGAAACGGGGUCUAAUACCGGAUAAUACUUGCCGAGGCAUCUCGGUGGGUUGAAAGCUCCGGCGGUGAAGGAUGAGCCCGCGGCCUAUCAGCUUGUUGGUGAGGUAGAAGCUCACCAAGGCGACGACGGGUAGCCGGCCUGAGAGGGCGACCGGCCACACUGGGACUGAGACACGGCCCAGACUCCUACGGGAGGCAGCAGUGGGGAAUAUUGCACAAUGGGCGAAAGCCUGAUGCAGCGACGCCGCGUGAGGGAUGACGGCCUUCGGGUUGUAAACCUCUUUCAGCAGGGAAGAAGCGAAAGUGACGGUACCUGCAGAAGAAGCGCCGGCUAACUACGUGCCAGCAGCCGCGGUAAUACGUAGGGCGCAAGCGUUGUCCGGAAUUAUUGGGCGUAAAGAGCUCGUAGGCGGUCUGUCACGUCGGAUGUGAAAGCCCGGGGCUUAACCCCGGGUCUGCAUUCGAUACGGGCAGACUAGAGUGUGGUAGGGGAGAUCGGAAUUCCUGGUGUAGCGGUGAAAUGCGCAGAUAUCAGGAGGAACACCGGUGGCGAAGGCGGAUCUCUGGGCCAUUACUGACGCUGAGGAGCGAAAGCGUGGGGAGCGAACAGGAUUAGAUACCCUGGUAGUCCACGCCGUAAACGGUGGGAACUAGGUGUUGGCGACAUU